UACGGAGGGUGCAAGCGUUAUCCGGAUUCACUGGGUUUAAAGGGUGCGUAGGCGGGCAGGUAAGUCAGUGGUGAAAUCUCCGAGCUUAACUCGGAAACUGCCGUUGAUACUAUUUGUCUUGAAUAUUGUGGAGGUAAGCGGAAUAUGUCAUGUAGCGGUGAAAUGCUUAGAUAUGACAUAGAACACCCAUUGCGAAGGCAGCUUACUACGCCUAUAUUGACGCUGAGGCACGAAAGCGUGGGGAUCAAACAGG
rnacentral:rRNA from 1 species